UAUCACACUCUAAAUUAUAGAUUUAAGGUAUGGUGCUUUAUGAAUUAGUUUGGGGUUGGGGUUGUUUAGAGUUUGUUUUAUGUUAAAUUUGAGGUUGAGUUUAGGGUAAAAUCAUAUUGGAUGUAUUAUGACACAAAAGCUGCCAGCCUCUGUUUCAAAACUGAAGUUUCUACCUUUCUCCCCUCUCUGUUUUCCCAUCACAAACAGAAGUUAGAUUCCUGCUUUUUCAUUGAUGGAAUCACGAGCAACGUCCUGACUGGAAAAUCAUCAAUGAAACACCUGCGAGAUGGGCUGCACACCUGGCAAUUAACAAGACACUUUGCAGACCCUCCUCUUCAAUCACUGUCCUCUUCCGCUCUACCUGGCACCUGGCUUGCUUGAUUGUCUGUAAAAAUCCUUUCAUUGCAAGCUGCUCUCCAUGCAAGUGAAACGGUUCCCUCUUUGGUUGUUUCUGUCUCUUUUUGGACAAGAACAAGUAUCCAAUACCUUGUGGCAGUGGCAGAGUAUGGCAACCAAGAAGGAAAAGCUUCAGUUUCCACCAGAGACUCAGCCACAACAGCCAGGCAAAUAAUAUCCCAUGCACAUGCACCUACUUCCACAACACAUCAACCCUGACUACAAGCCCUCUAACAAGCUUCAAGUUCACCAUUGUUCUGCACUUCAGUUUUUCUGUUUACUUAUCGUUUUCCAAUCGGAACAGCAGAUGAAAGAUAUUCAAUUUCGUGGCAGGGAAAGGUUGCUCUGUUUGCUAUCAUUUUGCACUAGAGGGGCCUUUACAUAUGUAGAAGGCAUAGAGGAUAGAUAUAAGGUUGACGCCGUGAUACUUCGGGCAAUACCUUCAGACGUUUCACGUUAGCAUCGAAGAUAAUUGCAAGAGUGUUGUUGAUCAUGUAGUGCGCGAAUAUGGGCGGAUAGAUAUUCUGGUGAACAAUGCAGCUGUACAACAUUAUAGUACAACACUGGAAGAGGUCACCGAGGCUUGGCUUGAGAGGCUGUUUAGAACCAACAUCUUUGGUUACUUCUUCCUGAACAAGUAAGAGAGAAAAACUGCGGAAACAAUUUGCCUAUUGCUUUGAUCUAUUUGUUUCUAAUUGGUAUAAAGGCAUUGUUUGAAGCAUAUGAAAGCAGGAAGUUGUGUUAUCAACUCAACAUCUAUUGCUGCCUAUGGAGGAAGUGCAGAGUUGCUGGACUACAGUUCAACUGAGGGUGGUGUUAUUGUCAAUGCUUGAUAUUGCUUGCUGCUCUUUUGGCUCGCCAUGGAAGUAUGGUUUAUUGCAGAAAUGACUGGUGAAUUGCGCUUGGCAAAUUACUAGGAAUGAGGUUGUAAAUUAGAUUUUCCCUUCUGUUUACAAAUCUAACGAAUUUGCACAAAACUAUAAUAAAUAAUAAUCUAGAGGUCGGUUUGUUU